rnacentral:hammerhead_ribozyme from 1 species
ACAUUGCUGAGGAGUCCUAUGAUAGGGCGAAACGGCCGUCCAGUAU